UACGUAGGGUGCGAGCGUUGUCCGGAUUUAUUGGGCGUAAAGAGCUUGUAGGCGGCUCGUCGCGUCGGGUGUGAAACUUGCGGCUUAACCGCAAGCCUGCACCCGAUACGGGCGGGCUAGAGUUCGGCAGGGGAGACUGGAAUUCCUGGUGUAGCGGUGGAAUGCGCAGAUAUCAGGAGGAACACCGGUGGCGAAGGCGGGUCUCUGGGCCGAUACUGACGCUGAGAAGCGAAAGCGUGGGGAGCGAACAGG
rnacentral:rRNA from 1 species